rnacentral:rRNA from 1 species
GAUGAACGCUAGCGACAGGCCUAACACAUGCAAGUCGAGGGGCAGCACAUGAGUAGCAAUACGAUGGUGGCGACCGGCGCACGGGUGAGUAACACGUAUGCAACCUGCCUUCUACUAUGGGAUAACCCGUCGAAAGACGGACUAAUACCGUAUAAUACAGGGGCUCCGCAUGGCGAUAUUUGUUAUAGAUUUAUUGGUAGCAGAUGGGAAUGCGUAUGAUUAGAUAGUUGGUGAGGUAACGGCUGACCAAGUCAACGAUCAUUAGGGGUUCUGAGAGGAAGUUCCCCCACACUGGUACUUAGACACGAACCAGACUCCUACAGAAGGCAGCAGUGAGGAAUAUUGGUCAAUGGACGAGAGUCUGAACCAGCCAAGUCGCGUGAAUGAAGACGGUUCUAUGAAUUGUAAACUUCUUUUGUGCAGGAAUAAAGUGGGUUACGUGUAACCUUUUGUAUGUACUGUACGAAUAAGGAUCGGCUAACUCCGUGCCAGCAGCCGCAGUAAAAC